CGCGUGAGUGAAGAAGGCCUUCGGGUUGUAAAGCUCUUUCGCAAGGGAAGAAAACUUAUGAUCGAAUAAAUCAUGAGGUUGACGGUACCUUGAUAAGAAGCACCGGCUAACUACGUGCCAGCAGCCGCGGUAAUACGUAGGGUGCGAGCGUUAAUCGGAAUUACUGGGCGUAAAGCGUGCGCAGGCGGUUUUGUAAGUCGGAUGUGAAAUCCCCGGGCUCAACCUGGGAACUGCGUUCGAAACUGCAAGGCUAGAGUGUGUCAGAGGGGGGUAGAAUUCCACGUGUAGCAGUGAAAUGCGUAGAGAUGUGGAGGAAUACCAAUGGCGAAGGCAGCCCCCUGGGAUAACACUGACGCUCAUGCACGAAAGCGUGGGGAGCAAACAGGAUUAGAUACCCUGGUAGUCCACGCCCUAAACGAUGUCAACUAGUUGUUGGUAGAGUAAAAUCUAUGAGUAACGUAGCUAACGCGUGAAGUUGACCGNCUGGGGAGUACGGUCGCAAGAUUAAAACUCAAAGGAAUUGACGGGGGGCCCGCACAAGCGGUGGAUCAUG
rnacentral:rRNA from 1 species